CACAGCUAGCUGCAAAAAAAACCAAAAAAGGAAGCCAGAAAUUAAUUUCUAGACUUGGAAAAUCAAGAUUUUUUCAUUGCCUUCAGAAAAAAAAAAAUCUCUUUCAGUACACUUUUAAGUUUGAUUUGAAUAAGCGUAUAGAAUCUAUUUUCAACUACCAAAACAACAAGGAGUUUCUUUCUAUUUGGUGGAAGGGAAUAGGGGCAAAGAACCUCUGUCCUAAUCUUGGACAAGCACUGACACACCAGGCAAAUUUCCUACUGUAACGAAGGCAAAAAUAACGAUAACAAUAAUUUAAAAAAAAUAAAUAUCAAAGUCCUGGCUAGCUUCAGAAAUAAAAGAUAUACAAAACCAGAGACAAUUUGGUUUGACUGCAGCAGAAGCUUGUGAUAAUGUAUAGCUUUGCAUACUUUUCUUCUUCCCUUAAUAUUUUUUUUUUUUUAAAAAAUUUAAAUCUAGUUUUUCUUCACAAAUUAAGACCUUUUCAUUUAGAAACUUUCCACCCAGGAUAUUUUGAUAAUUCCAAAUCUUAUUUCACAAAUGUUUUUCAAGUAAGCGGCCGUCAAAGCUCACUGUUGCACAAAGAAAUCAGUGUCACUCAGCCAGUCUGCUUCUGGCAGGGAGAAAAAAAAAAAAAGAUUAAUUCAAAAAGUUCCAGCUGUCCCAGAAGCCCAGACAGGGCUGGCUUUUUCCUGUAACCAAAACAGUUUUCAGCAAAGCCAUUUCCAGUUUUUUCAGUAAAUGGGCUUGUGUUUUGUACCCCAUCUCGCCCACGGCAGUGAGGAGGGGGCUGCCCUCCGCGGCGCUGGGCUCCCGCUGGCGCCAUGCUGAGGCAGCAGCCCCAGGUUUAAGCUUCAUUUUUGAUGCGUUGGUUACUUAGGAGCACAUCCAAAAAUACUGAUCUACAGCCUUGGUGAGGUAUAAUACAAAAAAUUAAAUCAGCCUUCAACGUGGUAUGGAUGGCCCCAGGAUACGGCUGAGGUGAUGUCAGUCUACAAAACAUAUCGUUAUGUGUCAUCAUUUCAUGUCAUUGCUUACUGAUUUAAUUCCAUCAUAUUUCAGGCAACUUUUAUUGUCCAGAUACAGAUCAUCAUAUUAAUAACUGGAAGCACAUAUGCAGAUAUCAAGAACAUCUCCUGCCACUAAGCCAAUUUUUAAAAUGAAUCCAAGAGAAAUAUUUUAAGGAAAGAUUGAUAAGAAAAGGAGGAAGCCAACAGUUUCAAGAACAAGGUGUAGCUAAAUAUUGUAUCUAAACACAUACCCUCGAAUGUGCAUUAUCAUACAUUCAACUUCACCAGGGAACAUUUUGGAGUAUGAACUGAAUAAUGUGGAUAUUAUAAAAUAGCUGUCUUGGAAUUAAAUUUUACAAUAUUGAUGUGUCAUAAUAAUAAAACAGAAAACACUUUUAAUAUCAGCAGUGAGCUCUAUCAUCCUUUUUUAUUAUUAUUUUGUGGUUGGUGCUUUUUCCUACGCAGAAACCUUGAAAACAAAAAUAUACACUGCAACAAACUGUAAACCAUUAAAGAUUUGUACACAGCAAUACCUCCUGAAGGAGGAAGCCCUAACCCCAGCAUUAUCUUUGUAGCCAAAGUUGGGCACAUAUUAAGUAAUUAGCUUAACCAUCACCUAAAAAACUGACCGUAGUACAAAACAAUUCAAACACAAGACAUGUGAAAUGUAUCUUGGAAAAAAAUACAAGGUGUUUUAUUUUAGCAGUUUUUGAGGGGUAAUCAAGUGUCUUUUAAAGAUGUCUCCAAAAGUGCAUGUUCUCCGUGUUUACUUCUUUUCCUGUGUUUUAUCUUUUUUUUUUUUUUUCUUUUUCCAUUUCUUGUCUCUAUCGCUGCAAAUAUUUCUCUGUGUUCACUUAUGCGUUGGACUGCAGGAUGGGAAAAUCUUGCAGCAACAUAAAUAUUCAGCCCAGUCCUGCAGUAAUAGCUUUUGAUCCCUGGCAGCGAUGCGGGUGAUAGAGGUGUGCACAACCAUGGUGUGUGCACAACCAUCCUGCAGUAAUCGAUUUUGGAUAAAGCAACCUAUUCAUACGCUCCCUUAACAAGCUCCCCAGCAUGCUCUACCCAGAGAACCUGUCUUCCAGGAGCGCUAUCAACCGCCAGGUAUCAAAGGCUCGAGGAAUAUUGUCUCACACAUCCCACAGGCAGCCUGGACCCCCUCAGGGGGUCCCUGUCAGGGGCUUGUGGCUGGCCACCCUCUUCAGCCCUCUCCUCCAACAUCCUUUACCCAGUAAUCCCCAGUGCUGGAAGGAAAUGCCAGGCUGAAGUCAGCCCAGCUUCCCUGACCAUAAGCCUGGGAGUGUCCCCCUAGGAAACCAACAGGAGUUUUCCCACCAGUUUGAUUUUCCUCUGAGAAAGGCUUGCCUAGCCGGGGACAAUGUCCUCAAGUAAGGCUGAGCGCGAACGAAAAACAUGGUGCCUAGAAUAAUUCCCUGCAAGGUUAUCUCUAAAAUGUACUCUUGCUUAUUUUUUUAUAUUCAGAUUCCCCUUUCCAUACAAACUUUCAGACAUUAAUAUCUCUAGACAUCCCCCCUCAGCCCAGACGAGACCCUGCUCCAAUCUCUUAUUCAAGAAAUUAUUUAACAUGAGCUUAAGGCUGAGCCCCUGUGCAAUUCCUCCUACCCUCAGUGAGCCCCCCAGAAGGGCUUCAAUUAAAGCAGGUGAUAAAUGCACUGCUGGGUUGAACCCUAAAAAUGUUUACAGGAUCAGGUAUUAAAAUACAGAACAUUACCCCUGGAGCUUCCAAAGCCAAGUGAACCUGAGCAAGUCAAAUGGAAAUGCUAAAUCUAUUUUCACUUUAAAAAAAUAGCAGAGGCUUCAGAAGUAGUUGUGAUAUAGUCUCCUCUCGGGGAACUAAUAGACAGGGAAGAGCAAGGCUUUAAAUGAUUUAUUCAGUACCCUGGAGAUUUUUUUUCUUUUUAUUUUCCUUUUCGUUUCCACAUAAAUUACACAAGCACUUUAUAAAAUGAAUACACAUAAAA